rnacentral:rRNA from 1 species
AGCUAAUACAUGCAGUCGAGCGAAACAGAAGAGGAGCUUGCUCCUCUGACGUUAGCGGCGGAUGGGUGAGUAACACGUGGGCAACCUGCCCUGCAGUUGGGGAUAACUCCGGGAAACCGGGGCUAAUACCGAAUAAUCAGUUCCUUCGCAUGAAGGAACUCUGAAAGACGGUUUCGGCUGUCUCUGCAGGAUGGGCCCGCGGCGCAUUAGCUAGUUGGUGAGGUAACGGCUUACCAAGGCGACGAUGCGUAGCCGACCUGAGAGGGUGAUCGGCCACACUGGGACUGAGACACGGCCCAGACUCCUACGGGAGGCAGCAGUAGGGAAUCUUCCACAAUGGACGGAAGUCUGAUGGAGCAACGCCGCGUGAGCGAAGAAGGUUUUCGGAUCGUAAAGCUCUGUUGUGAGGGAAGAACAAGUAUAGGAGUAACUGCCUGUACCUUGACGGUACCUCAUUAGAAAGCCACGGCUAACUACGUGCCAGCAGCCGCGGUAAUACGUAGGUGGCAAGCGUUGUCCGGAAUUAUUGGGCGUAAAGCGCGCGCAGGCGGCCUUUUAAGUCUGAUGUGAAAGCCCACGGCUUAACCGUGUAAGGUCAU